AUUGAACGCUGGCGGCAGGCCUAACACAUGCAAGUCGAACGGUAACAGGAAGAAGCUUGCUUCUUUGCUGACGAGUGGCGGACGGGUGAGUAAUGUCUGGGAAACUGCCUGAUGGAGGGGGAUAACUACUGGAAACGGUAGCUAAUACCGCAUAACGUCGCAAGACCAAAGAGGGGGACCUUCGGGCCUCUUGCCAUCGGAUGUGCCCAGAUGGGAUUAGCUAGUAGGUGGGGUAACGGCUCACCUAGGCGACGAUCCCUAGCUGGUCUGAGAGGAUGACCAGCCACACUGGAACUGAGACACGGUCCAGACUUCUACGGGAGGCAGCAGUGGGGAAUAUUGCACAAUGGGCGCAAGCCUGAUGCAGCCAUGCCGCGUGUAUGAAGAAGGCCUUCGGGUUGUAAAGUACUUUCAGCGGGGAGGAAGGGAGUAAAGUUAAUACCUUUGCUCAUUGACGUUACCCGCAGAAGAGGCACCGGCUAACUCCGUGCCAGCAGCCGCGGUAAUACGGAGGGUGCAAGCGUUAAUCGGAAUUACUGGGCGUAAAGCGCACGCAGGCGGUUUGUUAAGUCAGAUGUGAAAUCCCCGGGCUCAACCUGGGAACUGCAUCUGAUACUGGCAAGCUUGAGUCUCGUAGAGGGGGGUAGAAUUCCAGGUGUAGCGGUGAAAUGCGUAGAGAUCUGGAGGAAUACCGGUGGCGAAGGCG
rnacentral:rRNA from 1 species